CUUGGUCAUUUAGAGGAAGUAAAAGUCGUAACAAGGUUUCCGUAGGUGAACCUGCGGAAGGAUCAUUACAGAGUUCAUGCCCUUACGGGUAGAUCUCCCACCCUUGAAUAUUAUACCUUCGUUGCUUUGGCAGGCCGUGGAAACACCACGGGCUUCGGCAUGUGCGUGCCUGCCAGAGGAAACAAACUCUGUUUUUAGUGAUGUCUGAGUACUAUAUAAUAGUUAAAACUUUCAACAACGGAUCUCUUGGUUCUGGCAUCGAUGAAGAACGCAGCGAAAUGCGAUAAGUAAUGUGAAUUGCAGAAUUCAGUGAAUCAUCGAAUCUUUGAACGCACAUUGCGCCCCGUGGUAUUCCGCGGGGCAUGCCUGUUCGAGCGUCAGUUCAACCCAUCAAGCUUCGGCUUGGUCUUGGGGCUUGCGGUUUCGCAGCCUCUAAACUCAGUGGCGGUGCUUCUGAGCUCUGAGCGUAGUAAUUUUUUCUCGCUAUAGGGUCUCGGUGGUUACUUGCCAGCAACCCCCAAUUUUUAUCAGGUUGACCUCGGAUCAGGUAGGGAUACCCGCUGAACUUAAGCAUAUCAAUAAGCGGAGGA
rnacentral:rRNA from 1 species